rnacentral:lncRNA from 1 species
UGCCGGGAUCUUUUUGUCAUGCACUCAGUGGAUCUCUCAUGAUACCAUAUGCAAAGAGAAACCAAAAAGGGAGUUCAGAACCAUUCAUGAGAUGUAGCUAGUUAGUUAUUACUUCAACAGAGUGCAACCCCAAGUUAUUCACCGUUCUUGAAAAUAGCUCCUCUAGAAGAUAACAGCAGAGGCAAAAAAGCAAACCUGGGUAAAGGCCAUGAGGUCACAGUAGUCCCUGUUUAAUUGUCUGGGAAUCAUUUUCUUUACG